rnacentral:rRNA from 1 species
UACAGAGGUCCCGAGCGUUUGUUCGGAUUCAUUGGGCGUAAAGGGUGCGUAGGCGGCGGGGCAAGUCUGAUGUGAAAUCCCGGGGCUCAACCCCGGAACUGCAUUGGAUACUGCCUUGCUUGAGUACUGGAGAGGGAACUGGAAUUUACGGUGUAGCAGUGAAAUGCGUAGAGAUCGUAAGGAAGGCCAGUGGCGAAGGCGAGUUCCUGGACAGUGACUGACGCUGAGGCACGAAGGCCAGGGGAGCAAACGGGG